GGAAAGAGAAUGAAGGAGGAGGAGAAGAAGAGAAUCACCACCACCAUCAUCAUCAUCUUCUUCCUCUCAACCUUGGAGCAAACCUAGGGAGGUAAACGAACGCGUUGGGGAAGUCGGUUCGGCGAUCCGUCGAGCUGUUACAAAGAUAUUCAAGAAAAUGACGAUUUAGCUUCAUUUCCGCCUCGAGGGCCGAGGCGAUGUCGUAAAAUCAUGGAAAUGGAUUUGAGGCAUCGUGGCACAUAACCGAAGACCUAUAAUUUUCGGGGCUGCAAAGCGAAGCACGGUUGAGGCGCAGUUGCAAUAUUGGGCCGUGCCAGAUACAAGUGCUGCGGGAGGCCGAUUGCAAGUGUCGACAAGCAAUCAGAACGCGAAUUAAUGUGGGUUGUGCUUACCGAAGCGACUUGGUCGCCCUGCAAGUCAAAGCGGAACGUGGACUCUUAUUGAUGCAUAUGUUCGCACGUGAGCUGCGCGGCGGCGUGAGGAAAGGGGGUAGCUCCGUAGAUAGCACCCUACCCGAGAGACCAGAGCUAGUAGUACCCCGUCGACGUAGCUUAGAGGUAUAGAAAAUGAAAGCAAGCAAAUGUAUCAAAUUGUAAUAUCUAUGAUGUAAUAACUUAAUUGCAUUGGAUGUUGAAUGUAAUAUA